UACGUAGGGGGCGAGCGUUGUCCGGAUUUACUGGGCGUAAAGCGCGUGUAGGCGGUCCUUUAAGUCGGGUGUGAAAGCCCGGGGCUCAACCCCGGGAUGCCGCCCGAGACUGGGGACUUGAGGUCGGAAGAGGGGAGUGGAAUUCCAGGUGUAGCGGUGAAAUGCGUAGAGAUCUGGAGGAACACCCGUGGCGAAGGCGGCUCCCUGG
rnacentral:rRNA from 1 species